rnacentral:rRNA from 1 species
GAUGAACGCUAGCUAUAGGCUUAACACAUGCAAGUCGAGCGGGGAUCGAGGGCUUCGGCUCUUGAUUCUAGCGGCGGACGGGUGAGUAACGCGUGAACAAUCUGUCCCAGACAGGGGGAUAACACUUGGAAACAGGUGCUAAUACCGCAUAAGACCACGACACCACAUGGUGAUGGGGUAAAAGAUUUAUCGGUCUGGGGUGAGUUCGCGUCCGAUUAGCUAGUUGGUGAGGUAACGGCCCACCAAGGCGACGAUCGGUAGCCGACCUGAGAGGGUGAUCGGCCACAUUGGAACUGAGACACGGUCCAA